rnacentral:rRNA from 1 species
UACGGGGGGGGCAAGCGUUGUUCGGAAUUACUGGGCGUAAAGGGCUCGUAGGCGGCCAACUAAGUCAGACGUGAAAUCCCCAGGCUUAACCUGGGAACUGCGUCUGAUACUGGAUGGCUUGAAUUCGGGAGAGGGAUGCAGAAUUCCAGGUGUAGCGGUGAAAUGCGCAGAUAUCAGGAGGAACACCGAUUGCGAAGGCAGCUCGCUGGAACGUUACUGACGCUGAGACGCGAAAGCGUGGGGAGCAAACAGG